AGAGUUGCACCUACCUAUAGAACAGUGUCUGAAACACUAAAUGAUGAAUAUUAAGUAUCGAAGUCGGAAGUACUACUAAACAGUAUGGAAAAUUGACAUAUUAUGAACAUCGGCCACAUCUAUGCUACAGCUACAAUAUAAUCGACAGUCAUUAAAGUAAUUACUGAUAAGAAAACAAAUUUUCCACUAUAGCAAUAAAAUGAUACAAAACUAAAAGUUAUUAUAAAUAUGACGGAUAAUCGUGUGACCAUAUCUAACAUUAGCUACUGUUGAGAAACACAGCAGCUAUAAGCUAUGCUGUAAUAGGACUAUAGGAGGCACGAAGUCCGUACUCAAAUACUCAAGUUAUGUGAAUCAAAAUAAAAAGACACACUAAUUACUGCUAUUUAAAAUAAGACCAGAUGUUGUUCGCGGGAUUUGGUAUUCAGAAACGAGUUGUUGCUAAGAUAGCUGGUACACCUGCACUGAAAAUCGGAUGAUACCAUCAUGCUGACUAGAGAAUGAGGAGAGUGAGUA